AACGAACGCUGGCGGCAUGCCUAACACAUGCAAGUCGAACGAUUGCCUUCGGGUGAUAGUGGCGCACGGGUGCGUAACGCGUGGGAAUCUGCCCUUAGGUUCGGAAUAACAGCUGGAAACGGCUGCUAAUACCGGAUGAUAUCGCGAGAUCAAAGAUUUAUCGCCUGAGGAUGAGCCCGCGUUGGAUUAGGUAGUUGGUGGGGUAAAGGCCUACCAAGCCGACGAUCCAUAGCUGGUCUGAGAGGAUGAUCAGCCACACUGGGACUGAGACACGGCCCAGACUCCUACGGGAGGCAGCAGUGGGGGAUAUUGGACAAUCGGCGCAAGCCUGAUCCAGCAAUGCCGCGUGAGUUAUGAAGGCCCUAGGGUUGUAAAGCUCUUUUAACCGGGAAGAUAAUGACUGUACCGGGAGAAUAAGCCCCGGCUAACUCCGUG
rnacentral:rRNA from 1 species